rnacentral:rRNA from 1 species
CGAGCACGCGCGUGUGGCAUAUCAAUAAGCGGAGGAAAAGAAACUAACAAGGAUUCCCUUAGUAACGGCGAGUGAAGCGGGAAGAGCUCAAAUUUGAAAUCUUCAAGGUUCUACCAUGACGAAUUGUAGUUUAUAGAAGUGUUUUCUGUUAGUAGGAGUGGCAAAAGUUCUUUGGAAUAGGACAUCAUAGAGGGUGAGAAUCCCGUAUUUGGUCAUUCCUCCUAGCGUUGUGAUACACUUUCAACGAGUCGGAUUGUUUGGGAAUGCAGUCCAAAAUGGGUGGUAAUAUUCCAUCUAAAGCUAAAUAUUGGCGAGAGACCGAUAGCGAACAAGUACCGUGAGGGAAAGAUGAAAAGAACUUUGAAAAGAGAGUUAAACAGGGUACGUGAAAUUGUCAAAAGGGAAGCGUUUGACACCAGUGUUGUUUUUCCGAAAAUCAAUUACAAAUGUUUUGUUUUUGAGGAGUUAUGACUUCAUCGGCUUGCUUCUCUCUUUAUGAAACUUUCUUAAUGCACUUUUCGGUUAACAAGUCAACAUCAAUUUCUUUUGUUGUAAAAGGGUAUGAGGAAGGUGGCUUUCUUUUCGGAGAAAGUGUUUAUAGCCUUGUGCCUCUGCAAUCGGAGAGAUUGAGGUCUGCAGCGUAGAUCCUUCGGGGUUAGAUACGUUUGUGCUAAGUUAUAGCUUUUCAUAGACAACUUGUUGACUAUGUUAAGUCUUGUAGCUUACUCGCUUACGCUAUUUUACCUACGCUUAGGAUGUUGAUGUGAUACUGCGAGCA